rnacentral:tRNA from 1 species
GGGCCUGUAGCUCAGGGGGAGAGCGCUUGACUCGCAUUCAAGAGGCCGGGGGUUCAAAUCCCCCCAGGUCCACCA